GUUCUAGCUGUUUACUGGUGUACUUCACUUUUCAGAAGGCGGACAUGAUUGCCACGGGCAGCCCCUGCCCUUUGUGCAGAGAUGAGUACCUUGUCGUUCAUCACACUAACACUAAAUUACUCACUCAGUUCAUUUCACCAUACACAGGAGAAACUCUGCAACCACAAAAAACAGGUUUGUGCAGAGAAAAACAGUUCCAGCUUGAUCUGGCCAUCUUAAAAGCCAAAGAUUUAGGUGAGUCAUUUUCACAAGUCCUCUUCCAUU
rnacentral:lncRNA from 1 species